AGAGUUUGAUCAUGGCUCAGGACGAACGCUGGCGGUGCGCUUAACACAUGCAAGUCGAGCGAGAACCAGACCUUCGGGUCUGGGGACAGCGGCGAACGGGUGAGUAACACGUGGGUAACCCACCCUUGGUACUGGGAUAGCCCGGGGAAACCCGGAUUAAUACCGGAUGGCCCAACAGCUCUUCGGGGCGGUUGGAAAAGGUAGCUUCGGCCUCCGACCAAGGACGGGCCCGCGGCGGAUUAGCUUGUUGGUGGGGUAACGGCCUACCAAGGCGACGAUCCGUAGCUGGUCUGAGAGGACGAUCAGCCACACUGGGACUGAGACACGGCCCAGACUCCUACGGGAGGCAGCAGUGGGGAAUCUUGCGCAAUGGGCGAAAGCCUGACGCAGCGACGCCGCGUGGGGGAAGAAGGCUUUCGGGUUGUAAACCCCUUUCAGGAAGGACGAAGCCACUCGGGUGAAUAGCCCAGAGGGUGACGGUACUUCCAGAAGAAGCCCCGGCUAACUACGUGCCAGCCGCCGCGGUAAUAC
rnacentral:rRNA from 1 species